GCCGCCGUAGCUCAGAGGUAGAGCAUCUCCAUGGUAAGGAGAGGGUCACCGGUUCAAUUCCGGUCGGCGGCU
rnacentral:tRNA from 1 species